AAAUAAUUGUUUAAGAUAAAAUAUUAUACUAGUAAAAAUUUAUAUGAUAUGAAACAGUGGUAAUUGAAUUUUCCAAACUGAUGAUUACAUAUUUUCCGAUAUUAAAUCUAUCAAAUACUGUGAAAUUCAAUAUGAGUAAAAUGGAUUUAGGAGGCCGUAUCUACUUAGGGAGGGCCACUAGGAAAAAAAAUGAUGUGAACUUGUAAUCUUAUUUUUUUAUGUUUUAUCUAAAUCUGAGAGAUUAACCAUUUACCACAAUUUCCCGGACAAUCUGUAUAAUAAACAAAAUUAACACAACUUAUUUCUGUGAAUUAUUUGGCAGACAAAUACUAAGGCCAAAAUAUUUAUGAAAAAGAUUUAGUCACUUUAUUGGAAUUUAAUGGCAGUAAUUAUUCAGUGGAGAGCGGAGACCAGUGUAUUCUUCGACUGCAACGAAAGAAACAAGUCCGUUUGUAGUGAGUUUUAUCAUUCCCUGUUUUUAAACAACUAACUAAAUAUUUUGAAGAUGGCAUCCUCUGAUGAUUUCGAUCAAUUAAUCAACGAAACGAGGGAUUGGAACGAUCUUGUUGAAGAAUUUGAGGCCCUCUCAAUGGAUGGCGUUGAUGGAGGAAAUAAUUCAAUAGAAACGUCCUCACCUGAUGAGGAAAGGGGUGAACAAGAAAAGAAAAAAAUUUUGGAAAUGAUUUUGAAAAAAUUUAAUGAAAAAGAAGAAUAUUUGGAAAGGAACUUGAGGGUAAAAGUUCUGAUUAUGAAUAUAUUGAGAAA